GAAUGAGAUGUAUUUAUUAGACUAAACAGCCAAUGCUCUUCGGAGCUAUCUGGUGAGUCAUAAUAACUUCUCGACUCGCACGACCUUGCGCCGGUAUGUUUCAUUCAAAUUACUGCCCUAUCAACAUUUCGACGGCUGGGUCUUGGCAACACGUGGUGACAACGGGUAACGGAGAGUUAGGGCUCGGCUUCGGAGAAGGAGCCUGAGAUUCGGCUACUACAUCCAAGGAAGGCAGCAGGCGCGCAAAUUACCCAAUCCCGACACGGGGAGGUAGUGACAAUAAAUACUGAUACAGGGCUCUUUCGGGUCUUGUAAUUGGAAUGAGUACAAUUUAAAUCCCUUAACGAGGAACAAUUGGAGCCCAAGUCUGGUGCCAGCAGCCGCGGUAAUUCCAGCUCCAAUAGUGUAUAUUAAAGUUGUUGAGGUUAAAAAGCUCGUAGUUGAACCUUGGGCCUAGCCGGCCGGUCCGCCUCACCGCGUGCACUGGCUCGGCUGGGUCUUUCCUUCUGGAGAACCGCAUGCCCUUCACUGGGUGUGCUGGGGAACCAGAACUUUUAC
rnacentral:rRNA from 1 species